rnacentral:rRNA from 1 species
CACCGCGGUUAUACGAGAAGCCCAAGUUGUUAGAUACCGGCGUAAAGUGUGGUUAAGACUUAAACCCUAAGACUAAAGCUGAAUGCCUUCUAGGCCGUUAUACGUACCUGAAAGUAAGAAAACCAAUUACGAAAGUAGCUUUACUACUUCUGACUCCACGAAAGCCAGGAAA